UCAGAAAGAUCACAUACUAAUGGGGAGGAAUCAGAAAGAUCACAUACUAAUGGGGGAGGAAUCAGAAAGAUCACAUACUAAUGGGGGAGGAAUCAGAAAGAUCACAUACUAAUGGGGGAGGAAUAUGAAAGAUCACUACUGGAAUUAUUUGCAUUAUAAGUCAAAACUUUCUCAGAGCAAGCUCAACUUGCCCGACUGCUAUAAAUGCCAUACAUUAUCUGUCUUUCAGUAAAAUAAUGGGGAGGAACCAGAAAGAUCAGUUUCAGGCUACUGGAAGUCUUAGCAGUUUGGUUGUUUUCACUGCAAUAAUGGGUCAACUUCAGAGCAGGCUCAACUUGCGCGACUGUUCAGUUCACUUGACCCUGGACCUUAAUGUCAUUCCCUGUAUCGGUUAUCAGGGAAACAAGAACCUUGGACAGAACACAGACGGAACACAUCCUAAGAGGCCUUCUCCAUUCAAUCAGAAACAGUCCAUUUUGUCUUUGUGAAGUUCAUACUGUUCAACAUACUGUAUUAGACAUUUAUAUUUAUAAUACUCUAUUCUUCCAAGCCAUUGACUUCAGGUACACUUUAAAUGUAUAUGUUACAGGAUGGUGCUCCAAGACUUUACUAUGUUAAAAGGUACCAAAGAAUUUGAAAAAGAAAACCGCUGAGAGGAUAAAAGUGUGGUGGUCUUGUCUGUGACUUUCCUGGAGAUCUCUUUUCUUCCACAAUUUGACUUUAAUCAGGUGAAUUACUUUGCUCCUCAUUGGUGAUGGCAAUCUCUCAACGCGCUGUGGUCGCAAAGUGCAAUAAUGUUAUAUGAGACAUUCAUAUUAUUUUUUUAAAGAAAUGAGUAACUCUGAACAAAGUUUUUUUUGUUUAUAGACAAAAUAUGUUAUAUAAUCUUGAAUGUUGUACAUUUGUAAAUAAAAUGCUUUUAAAUGUUUUGUAUUGUCUUUUACAACAUAAAGAAUAAAAUAUAUUUGAAAUGAUCUUUUGGUGCACUGAUCACUGCUGAUUUUAGAGCACUGUUCUGUGAAUUCUUCCAUAAUAGCAUUUACCUGUACAGUGUUUUCAUAAAUGUAUCGCUUAUCUCAGCCAUGUUAAUCAAAAUCAAGCUACAUGAUUAUCUAGUUUUAAUAAACUAUAUAUUUUUGGAUCGUCUAUUUAUGUAAUGUUUAUGUAAUGUAUGUUAGAACACAUUUUAAUACUAAUAAUACAUGCUUAAAGUAACUGUUCAGUGUUUCCAGAUUUCUAUGGGUUUAAUGGUGUUAUUUCCAAAACAUGGUAAUUAAAUCUGUGUUGGAAUGGUGUGGGCGUAUACCGGUCAUUAAAAAUAUUCAUGUGAGUAGAAACUAAUUGGCCAGCUUAUACUCCUCUAUGAGCAAAUCACAAG
ensembl:lncRNA